rnacentral:rRNA from 1 species
UACGAAGGGGGCUAGCGUUGUUCGGAAUCACUGGGCGUAAAGGGCGCGUAGGCGGUCUUCUAAGUCUUGUGUGAAAUCCCUCGGCUCAACUGCGGAACUGCACGGGAUACUGGAAGACUUGAGUUCGGGAGAGGGAAGCGGAAUUCCCGGUGUAGAGGUGAAAUUCGUAGAUAUCGGGAGGAACACCGGUGGCGAAGGCGGCAGCCUGGGUUGACACUGACGCUGAGGCGCGAAAGCGUGGGGAGCAAACAGG